rnacentral:rRNA from 1 species
UACGUAGGUGGCAAGCGUUGUCCGGAUUUACUGGGCGUAAAGAGCGCGCAGGCGGUCGUUCAAGUCGCGUGUGAAAGCCCCCGGCUCAACUGGGGAGGGUCACGCGAUACUGAUCGACUGGAAGGCAGGAGAGGGUAGUGGAAUUCCCGGUGUAGUGGUGAAAUGCGUAGAUAUCGGGAGGAACACCAGUCGCGAAGGCGACUACCUGGCCUGUUCUUGACGCUGAGGCGCGAAAGCUAGGGGAGCAAACGGG